GAUGAACGCUGGCGGCGUGCUUAACACAUGCAAGUCGAACGGUGAACACGGAGCUUGCUCUGUGGGAUCAGUGGCGAACGGGUGAGUAACACGUGAGCAACCUGCCCCUGACUCUGGGAUAAGCGCUGGAAACGGCGUCUAAUACUGGAUAUGUGACGUGACCGCAUGGUCUGCGUUUGGAAAGAUUUUUCGGUUGGGGAUGGGCUCGCGGCCUAUCAGCUUGUUGGUGAGGUAAUGGCUCACCAAGGCGUCGACGGGUAGCCGGCCUGAGAGGGUGACCGGCCACACGGGGACUGAGACACGGCCCAGACUCCUACGGGAGGCAACAGUGGGGAAUAUUGCACAAUGGGCGCAAGCCUGAUGCAGCAACGCCGCGUGAGGGAUGGCGGCCUUCGGGUUGUAAACCUCUUUUAGCAGGGAAGAAGCGAAAGUGACGGUACCUGCAGAAAAAGCGCCGGCUAACUACGU
rnacentral:rRNA from 1 species